UAAGUCGGUUUGGGGUGUUCUAGGUCAGAGUGCAUAAUUAUGGGUCUGUGGUAGUCAGAGUACCAGAACUUAGGAAAAGAAUGUAGACCUGAGGCCUGGGAGAUGCUGGUGGGGUCCUCAGGGCUGGACUGAGAGGCCAACAUCUGAGGAGAGACCUGGGCACCUGAGGGAAAUUUGCAAUGGGGUCAAUGGAAAUCCAAGCGCCUAGCUUGCUUCCUGGAGCUAGGGAGCCUGGAAUCCAGCCGCCCCUCCUCCUGGGUGUGUGCCCAGUCACUGCAGAGGUGUUUGGGCCUGGUC
ensembl:sense_intronic Gm14376 predicted gene 14376